CCUACGGGGUGCAGCAGUGGGGAAUAUUGGGCAAUGGGCGCAAGCCUGACCCCGCAACGCCGCGUGAAGGAAGAAGGCUUUCGGGUUGUAAACUUCUUUUCUCAGGGACGAAGCAAGUGACGUUACCUGACGAAUAAGCCACGCCUAACUACGUGCCAGCAGCCGCGGUAAUACGUAGGUGGCAAGCGUUAUCCGGAUUUACUGGGUGUAAAGGGCGUGUAGGCGGGGACGGAAGUCAGAUGUGAAAACCACGGGCUCAACCUGUGGCCUGCAUUUGAAACUGUGUUUCUUGAGUAGGGGAGAGGCAGACGGAAUGCGUGGUGUAGCGGUGAAAUGCGUAGAUAUUAGGAGGAACCCCAGGGGCGAAGGCGGUAUGCUGGACAGCAACUGACGCUGAGGCGCGAAAGCGUGGGGAGCGAACAGGAUUAGAUACCCGGGUAGUC
rnacentral:rRNA from 1 species